rnacentral:lncRNA from 1 species
CCCUCACUUUUUAAUAAAGUUUUUGUUUUGUUUUUAGGGCCUAACCUGUGGCAUAUGGAUGUUCCCAGGCUAGGGGGUGAAUCACAGCUGCAGCUGCCCGGCCUAUACCACAUGUCAUGGCAACGCUGGAUCCUUACCCCACUGAGUGAGGCCAGGGAUUGAACCCGCAGGUUCUUAACCCACUGAGCUACAAUAGGAACUCCUAAUAAAGGCGGUUUUUUUGUUUUUGUCUUUUUGCCAUUUCUUAGGCUGCUCCUGUGGCAUAUAGAGGUUAAAAAAAAUCAAAGAACACAUUCACUGAACACAAACUUACAAACUCUCUUUAACAGUCUCCAAAAUUCAUCUCACACUUUAUCUCAUUUUUAUUUUGUUACCACUGAAACUGAGUCUACAUUAGAAUUCCUGGUACCUAGGAGUUUGUUUUCCCAUGGGUUCUCUGUGGCCAGAGAAGGAGAAUUAGGAACACAAUGUUUAUCAGUGGGAGAAUAGGCCACUGCAUGUGGCUGUCAUCUGCUCUAGGUUUUGGUGACCACAUAUUUCAACAUGUAUUGCAAUCAUAUGAUGAUUUCCACCCCUUCUGACAACUCAUCCAAGGAACUUUGGUUAAAUGCCUUAUCUCAUGUUUCAUGAGGUUUUCCUGGUUAUUACCCAAUAUUUACGUUGAGUUAGGCAAAGGCACCAACAGGUCAAAGAACUGAAUUAGUUCAUGCAGUGAGUCUAAUCUUAAACUUCAUCCUUUAACUUCCUUUUGGAGAGUGCCCUGCCCUAAGGAUGGAGAACCCCUACCCUGAUCUCAUGGGAUGAUGGUGCCACACUUCAGAAUACAAUUUUUUUUUUCCAAUUUCAUUUGCCCAAGAUGCCAUUUUUAAAAAAUUAAAUCUUUGUAUUCUCUGAGUGGUGAGCUUAGGAUCCAAUCUAUUAUUCCGGUAAUCUCAGUAAAUUCCCUUCUGCUGAAAUUUUCUGGUUUUUAGAAUGUAACCAAUCAUACCAUCUCUUCUAUGCUUCUCUCAGAUGCUAUUCAGCCAAGAGAAACGAAAUAGGUGGCAAUGUUUUGAACCCAUAAUGGGAACAGUGUAAAUCUGAGAUAUUGCUUCUAUUAUUACUAAUGCUACUAUUAAGUUAUUAACAGAAUACAGGGAGAAUGCUACAGGAUGCAGAAGACCUUAAAUGAAUGGCCACUCCAACAAACAUCAGCUAUGAAAUGCUAGGCAAGGCCCUUAACAUAACUUAUCAGUUUUCUGACCAGAAAAUAAAAGAUUAUAUUCCCCAAUUUUCUACCUGCUAGGGUUCUUAUGAGUAUCAGGGGAAGUAAGAUAUGUGGACACAUCUCAUGUACAGUAAAGGGCCAAAAUGCUAAAAAUGAUUUUUGAGACAAUCCCUAUUACAACAAUGUGUCUGAACCGUCUCCUUUUCUUCAGGUUCAAACCACCUGAAAGAGUUAGAUGAGAGAUAAAGCUAGAGUCAUGAGACUAGACAAAAAAUUCAUGGGCUGGUAAUGGGUGCAUUGUAAUUGGGAGACUAAACAGAUUCCUAAGCAGAAACUGAGUAGAAGCUUAUCAUAAUUAAUAUUCACAGAUUAUGUAAUGACAUCUGACUCAUGGGAUUUACAGAGAACACAUAGCAAUGUAAAUUAUAAGCAAUUAAAUUUAAAUACAUGUAUGUGUGCAUAUGUAUGUAUAUAUCUUGCCAAAGCUUUUAACUUCUAAACAGUGUUCUAGAACAUUAAAAAUCCAGGUGAUUUUUUUUUCUUUCUGAGGAAAAUAAAAUGAGAUCAGAUUUGCAUAUGGCCAGGAAUAGAAGACUUCCUACUAAAAACAAAGUAUAAUGAAAGAUAUAAUUCUACAAAAUCAGAGGUCCUAGCUGAAAUCAAUGGUGAAGACCAAAUAUUAACUCCUUUAACCUCAUCUAUGUCAAAUCAUACCUAACUUAUUUUCUAAGAGAAUCAGACAAAGGUAGAAGAGAUUUUAGAGAUUUUCUUUCUCAUUCUCAUCUGAAAAGUUUAACAACUACUAGAAAAAGGAUUGAGGUUUUCGUAAAGACAUUUCUCCUCCCAAGGUGACUAUGCAUCUAGCCCAUCAGAAACCUAGAGUAAGUUAAAAUAAACACCUGAAAAUAUUUUCAAGAGGACAUCUACCACUGACUAUGGAAUCUCCUUACCCCCUAUUAACACUCUAAUAAAGCAUGAUGAAUAUCUGCUCAGGCUCUGGAUGGAGACACUAACCUUCCCAAAAGACAGCUACUUCCACCCAAACAACUGGCCCUCCUUUCCUUCUUGUCAGCACUGCAUGCUGGAAAGGCCGUGUUUGGUCUCUUAAUCAGGCCUUGCUGACGGGCUGACAUCACUGCAAACGUUUUCACUUACUCUUUGGCAACACUUAAAUCCUUGCCAAAGGCCAGUCAGUAAGUCAGAAAGCAUUGUUAGUGGGAGGCUGGGGGAGCCGAGUGUGACUGUCAGCUAGCAAUCUGUGGUGAUGACAGGAGGGGAAUCUAGGAGCUGAAACCAUUUUAAAGGUCACUCCAUGGGCAGAACAAAAGACCUCUGAUUUAGGAAAGGAAACAGAACUCUGGCAAGUGGAAGCACCAGGAUGAUGCUAAAUGAACACUCUGAAAAUUCCUUAUCUGUUCCCUGAUUGUAGAGACUACCUCCAGUACAGCUUCAACCAACAACUAUCUGCUUUAGCAGCAGUGUGAGUUAAUUUGGUAAAAUAGAAAUAUCAUGCACCAGUGCUUCAGUUGUCUGUUUUUCUUAAAAAAAAAAAAACAAAAAACUUGCUUGAGAUAGCACUGAUGUACAACAUUAUAUAUAUUUCUACUUCUGUAUAUAUAACAGCAUGCUUGCAACCAGAAUUUUAGUUCCCAUCUAUCACCAUACAUUUGAUCCUCUUCCCCCAUUUCUCCUUCCCCUUCCUGUCCCUUUCCUUCUGGUAACUACUAUUCUGUUCUCUGUGUCUACAUUUUUUUGUUUGGUUUAUUCAUUUAUUUUGUUUGUUUUUUAUAUGCCACAAAGUCUUUCUGUGUCUAAGUUAUUUCAGUUAGCAUAAUAACCUCAAGGUCCAUCCAUGUUGUUGCAAAGGGCAAUAAUUCACCUUUUUAACGGUGAAGUAGUAUUCUACUGAAUAUACAUAUUACAUCUUUAUUUUUAAAAAAAUAUUCUUUAAUAGUCUUUCUCCUUACUCUUCAUUUUUUCAUUUUCAACCUUGUACUGCUAAAUAAUCAGUGUUUAAAAUUCUUAGUGUAAGCUUUCUCUGAAAAGCUAUUGCAUACAUUUUGACUAAAAUGACAUGAAUAUAAUUACUAAAGUAUUGAUAAACAAAUUUUAAAAGGAACACAGAUCAUUAGACAAUAAUCAUAGUAGGCCCAUGCCUGGAUUGAGAUUAUCUCUCUUCUCUCUUCCCAAAGCAGGAAAAGGCUUGGAAGAAGACAAUGGCUUUAGUCUACUGAAUGCCAUAAUCUGGACCUGGGACAUCCCUUAUAAGAUCUGCCAGAUGGAUCUGCUAUAGUUUAUUCUCCAACUCUCAGCUGCUCUGACUUUAUU